UUUUCUACUUUAUCCUCCCAACACAGCCAACGCCCCCAGCCUACCACGCCGCUCCUCGGUGCUUCUAGAUGGAGGAGCACCACAGGUUGCUCCACCUUUGUCGCCUCAAGUCCCAACCCACCUCCGUCGCCUCACCUAAUCCCCAGCAAAGCUCCACCCUCGGCGAGCCAAAUCAAGGAUGACCAGGGCAAGUUCCUGCCUCCACCACAUCAGAGGCUUCACCGCGGGUCCGUGGCCACCUUGGCCAAGCCCGGUGCUGCACGCCGCUGUUGCCUUUUUGCUGAUGGGCCGCUGUUGCCUCUCCCUGUUUCCCCUGCAAAGCUUCCCCUAUGUGUCCUCACCCUCUGCCUCAUCUCAGUCUCCCGGGGCACGCUCUCCCUGUCCUUCUUCCCUCGUUCUUCCACCUGAGAAGGCGCCUCACCAGCGCCCGGCCUCGCCGUCGCGCCGCCCCACGCCUGCGUACGCUCCGCCCCGCUGCUGCGCCGCUCGCCGGAGCCGAGCACCGCCGCCGCCCUACCCCGCUUCCCCCUGCUCCCCUUUCCUUUUGUCUCUCUCUAACCUCUCUCUCUCUCCCAUGGACGCCUGGAGCUCCCUCGCCAGCCGAUGCGCCGCCUUGCCCCGCGGCCUACAGAUGCGGCCGGCCACCCCGCCGGAGCCGAGCGCCGCCGCCGCCCCAGGUGAGCAGCGUCGCCGCCCUGCCCCGUUUCCACCCCACGGCCUACAGAUCCGGCCGGCCUCCAUUGCCCUUGUCGUUCCCGUGCCCGGAUCUGGCCGGAGUUCACCGUCACCGUGCCCGCCCGUGUCGGCAACGUGGCGGCCUCCUCAGCCUCGAGGGCAAGCUCCCAGUUGACCGCGUCCGCCGCCGCGACGCCUCGGUCCACCGCGGCCUUCAACGCCCGCCGCGACGCCUCUGUACGCCGCGCUCUACAACGCCAGUCGCGACACCUCGCCCCAUUCCUGGGCUCUGGCAGCGCUCACGUCCGCCGCGACGCAUCCCCUGCCUUGCUUGUGCGGUGUCGACGCCGGCGACAAGCGGUUCAGUAGAGGCAGGGUGUUUUUUGCAAAAAAACAAACGUUAUCUACAAUUUAAGUAGGACUGCGCGUUAAUUUCGGGAAAAUAGGGGAACUUUUUUGCAAAAAUGACAGCGACGGAUGACCAGAAGCAUUAGCUGUUUUAUUAGUAGGGAAAGAUUAGGUAGAGAUUAGAUGAACAUACUAUGCUCAUCUACAGCCGGACCGAGCAAAUUUGACCCCUCAAACGCAUGCCGACGCGCCGGAUCAGUGUCCAUACGUGUUUGUUUUCACUUUCUAUCUGUUCAUCCACGCAACCAUGUCUCACUAUUUUCUCCUAUACGCCCGAUCACAUGUAUGUGAUUGGUGGACAAGAAGAGAAAAAAAGGAAAAAUAAUAAUAAUAAAAAGAUGAUCCGUGAUGGAGUUAUGCACAGAA